rnacentral:pre_miRNA from 1 species
GGAAAUUAAGAAAAUGUUUCUUAACUUUUAACUAAAAAAACUAAGAACCGGUUCUUAAAGUCCUUAUUUAAGAACUGGUUCUUAGUUUUUUUAGUUAAAAGUUAAGAAACAUUUUCUUAAUUUCC